UAUAAGCAUUAUUAUUUAUUUGUAAAAUAUAUAUAUUUUUUUUUUCACACAUCGACCAUCGGCUAUUAGAUCCCAAAUUCUUGAGUGCUCUACAUAAACUAAUAUUUAUGCUGCAAUAUGACUACUAAUGCCAAAUCGUUCAUGAAUUACGACACAUGUCACACAGUCUACACUACAAAUUGGACGGUUCGCUUGUGUAUAAGUACUAACAGUAAAUAAGUCUAUGCGCUAAGAUUUAGUCACACGAAAAGUUGUAUAAAGUAACAGUAUCAGAUAACUACUUAUUUUUUGCUGUCAGUUGUGGUGUUCAGUCAACAAAGUAUUUUGGUAACCAAUCCGAAAUCGAGUUCAUAACGAUCCUCUUUUUCUUUUCUCAUACACGCCAUGUUUCACAUUCAUGGAGUCAGCGAGCAGAGCAGUCAAUUAAAACAAACAUUUCCAGAUCAUUCAAUGAGUGUAAACAUGAAAAACAACAGCACAUUAUACACACAAAAAAAAAAGACAAUGAAAAUAACAAACUGAAAAUUGUAUGUUGUUCAAAAUGUUGACCAAAAUUAUUCAGACAAAAGAAAGCUGUAUGUCUACCACACAUUAUUAAGCCGAAUAUGUCGUUGAAGUAUUAAGUUACUUUCAUUAUCGCCACAUAAUCAACAGAGAUUUGAAACCUGAAAAUUGGUUACUAAUAGUUAUAUGAAAUUGGUUGGUUUGGAUUUACAAAAAACUACAUAACAAAAGAAAAACCUGGACAUUUUAUAGAACGCAAGAAUAUAUUGCCCCCUGUUAUUCCUAACAGAGUUUAUAAUUCUUUAGGGGUAAUUCAGUUGAAUGGAUAACAGAAUUUCAAAAACACAAAAUAUAAGAUACUUAUUUUUUAUAUAAUUAUAUGUUACCAGAGUAGUCGAUAAUUUAGGAAUUGUGUGAUUUCCUAAUUAUUAUUGACAAUGACUGGAAAAAGAUAGGCGAUUUUGGAUAUUUCAUAGUUCUAUCAAAAUUUUUGUAUUAUAUUAAGUUACAAGCCCAUUUUAAAACAAAUGUAUAUAUUAUAUCUUUAAUUAUGAAACAUAUCAUCUAUGUACAAGCCGGUUUCAUGUUAUAGUUUUUAUUGCUU